GGGUUGUGAGGUUAAGCGACUAAGCGUACACGGUGGAUGCCCUGGCAGUCAGAGGCGAUGAAGGGCGUGCUAAUCUGCGAUAAGCGCCGGUAAGGUGAUAUGAACCGUUAUAACCGGCGAUACCCGAAUGGGGAAACCCAGUGUGACUCGUCACACUAUCAUUAACUGAAUCCAUAGGUUAAUGAGGCGAACCGGGGGAACUGAAACAUCUAAGUACCCCGAGGAAAAGAAAUCAACCGAGAUUCCCCCAGUAGCGGCGAGCGAACGGGGAGGAGCCCAGAGCCUGAAUCAGCAUGUGUGUUAGUGGAAGCGUCUGGAAAGGCGCGCGAUACAGGGUGACAGCCCCGUACACAAAAGCGCAUGUGCUGUGAGCUCGAUGAGUAGGGCGGGACACGUGGUAUCCUGUCUGAAUAUGGGGGGACCAUCCUCCAAGGCUAAAUACUCCUGACUGACCGAUAGUGAACCAGUACCGUGAGGGAAAGGCGAAAAGAACCCCGGCGAGGGGAGUGAAAAAGAACCUGAAACCGUGUACGUACAAGCAGUGGGAGCACAGGUUUACCUGUGUGACUGCGUACCUUUUGUAUAAUGGGUCAGCGACUUAUAUUCUGUAGCAAGGUUAACCGUAUAGGGG
rnacentral:rRNA from 1 species